GGUGGUAUGGCUCAGUGGUAGAGCACCUGUCUGGAAAGUACAAGGUCCUGAGUUCGAAAGCCCAGUAGAGCCA
rnacentral:tRNA from 1 species